AAAUGGACUUGGACAAUAAAGCCAAACAAUGUGUAAUGAUAUAUAUCUAUAUAUAUACACACAUAAUCUGUAUUUGAGAUUUGUAAUUCUCCCCUUUUUUGCAUGAAUCUAGAUGUGCAAAAUGGCCGAUCGAAUCGGCUUGUCUAGUUUGGUCUCGGGUAUGAGUGAGCUCGGUCCGGGCUUAGUCUACUAGUCCAUGCAGGUGGCUGGCCAGGUUGGGCCCAACUCUAAAUUCUUCCCUUACUUUGUUUGCAGAAUCUAGAUGUGCAAAAGGGUCGGAUUUGUCGGCCUGUCUAAUUUGGUCUCGGGUAUGAGUGGGCUCGGUCCGGGCUUAGUUUACUAGCCCAUGCAAGUGGCGGGUCAGGUUGAACCCAACUCUAAAUUAACAACCAUACCUGAUCUAUCCCUUGGAACCUGCCCACCCGAUGGGUGGGCAGACCCGACCUGAAUCAGCUCGAAUAUUUUUUUUUUGAGAGUUUUUUUUGACUUUUUAUUUUUUGUUUUUUUGAUUUGUUUUAAAAUUUUGGCGACAUAUUUGGAAUGUUAUAUUUGAAAUGUUAUAUUUUUUAUUUGGAUUUGAAAUAAGUUUUUUUUUAGGACUUCGGUUAAAUAAAUUAUAUACUUGUUAUAUAAAUUUUUUAUUUGGGUUUAAAAUAUUGUUAAUGUCCUGCAGGUGCUACUAGAUGUGCCAUGCCAGCGACGGAAAAAGUCGAAUUAUUUGAGGCCAAUUUGGAGUACAUUAUUAUUACCCUUGGCCUCAAACUCAUUGUAUUUAGCCUCUUCAAAAUCUUUAAAAUUCUAAUCACGAGGAUCCAUUUUUUUAAAAAGUACUUUUUUUUAAAUAUUAACGAUAAAAUAAAAUAAAAUAAAUUUUGAUACUAAGAUACCUAAGUCUGAAACGCUUGAAAUUUUAGAAUUUAUCUCUUAUUCAACACUUGAGAAAUUCCGAGCAAUCGAGUAAUUGAGAUUUUUUUCAAUACUUUCGAAAAAUUGAAAUCUUCUUGAGAUUUGUAGAAUAUUGAGAAGUAAGUAUAGAAUUGUUAGAUUGAGUAAAAAUUGAGUGAGGAAGAAGUAUGGAGAAUUACAGUUAUUUAUAAGAAUUUUUGUGGGCUCAUUUGAUCAAAAUACCCCCAAACUAGCCAUUUAGAGUGUUGUAGAGAGGUGUUUCGGUCAUUUAUAGCUCAAUUAAUCCAAAACUAACUGUUAUAUAGUUGUUGGUGGCAAAAAAGAUAAAAAAAAAAACUCAAAAAAAUAAUAAAAAGUGUCAAACUAACCGUUAUUUACUGAGGAUUACAUGGUGUUGACGAGUGGAGGGGGCACAGGUUGAUUGGGCCAAAUCCAUUCCCAAACAGCCCGGCCCAAUCCAAGUCAGACAACCCGGGCUGAACUUUUUUUAACCUUAAUUAAAUCUGUUAAUGUGCCUUAUUCUUUUCCUUUUUUUAUUUGGCUAUAGGUUUUUUCAUGAAGAUGUUAUUAUGAUCUCAAUAUGUUUUUCAUGUUUCACGUUCGAAAACUCUUAGAUGCUUAUUAAAAAUAAGUUUCAUAUUUAAUAUUUUUUUUUGUUUUUAAUAAUUUUUUUUUAAAAAUUAGAUGAGAAUUUUUAUAUUUUUAAAUUUCUCUUGUCCAGCUAAGAAAUAUAAAUUUUUGCCCAGUUAAAAAUUAACUAAAUACAUAAAAACUUAAAAGCCGAUACAGUGAAAAUAUUUAAAAAAGAUCUAUCAUCUCUAAUUAGGCGUUAUUUUAUUAUAUUUCUGGUAGAUUCAGGAAGUUUCAAUAUUUAUAUGAUUCCUCAUCGAAACAAGAUAAGAAUGGAUCUCGUCAGGUAUCAAUCGUGACAGAUUAUUUUAAAACUUUUUGAAAAAUUUUCAGUGCCUUCCAUAUAUAUUUUAGAGGAGAAUAUUAUUAGCGUGAGUCACGACUCACGCACAGGCCAGGAUGCAUUCAUGUCAGUGAUGUCACAUGGAGAGAGAUAAUAUUAUUAACCCAAGUCAACUGCCAGCCAGGAUGGAUGCAUGUCACAUGGAGAGAGAGAAUAUUAUUAUCGCAAGUCAACUGUAGACGAGGAUGCAUGCAUUGUGUAGACGUGUCAAACCGGCGUGCUAACACCGGCACGUUAAAAUUUUGGUAGGGACACGGUGAUAAGUCAGAUUGGGCUACUGUUUUGGGGUAUAAAGCACGGCAUGAUAUGUUUAUGAAAGCAAAUUUUAAAUAAUUUUAAAUUUUUGACGC
rnacentral:lncRNA from 1 species